ACAGCUCACAUGCAUUUUGCAUCCUAUUUAUAGAUUUAUUGAUAAUACUAUUCCAUCAGCAUGCCAGAAUGGUAGAUAGAUACAGCUGAAUAUAAUUUGAGCAAAUAUUAGAUGCUUUUAAAACUAAGAUUUGCAUCCUUCUUCUGUCUCAUUGUGUAAUUUGUCAUCCAGGGCAACAGAGCUUUCCAAUAAUGGGAUAUCUCAUAUUUCUUCAAAGAAAGAGAAUGGCAAUAUUUGUCACUUACAUGAUCACCAACAGUUCAUGCGCCAGAGGAAAACAUUUAUUUUGCUGAAUACAUAAUCCAAAAUUUGGAUGAAAUUGGACAUGCUACUUCAGCAAAAAAUACAGAAGUAACCAUCACUUGCUACAAACACUUUCUAAGAAUCAAGAAUGAUUUGGACACCCAUCCUUUAGCCACCUGCCUGCUAUUUUUCGUGGUCACCUCCCAUAAGUCAUGAAUAUGUUAUUUAGUGUCUGUAUUACACUGAUAGCAGCCACAUCUUCAUCCACCUUGUGAUGGCCGGUUUGUACCUCUGUCAUUUUGGGAUAACACCCUGUGAUUUGCUGAUGCAACUGUGACUGUGCUGAAAGCUGGAUUGUUUCAGAAUGAGAUGGACAGCACCCCAAUCUCCAUUAACCAGAUGAUGAGAUCUCCACUGCUUCAAGAGGCAGCUUUGCAUGACAGUUGCAGACAAUUGUUUAAGGCAGCCAGAUAGUAUUUGGCAUUUUGCUGCCCAAAGGACGGGGCAGUGAAACAAAACCAUGCGUAUACAAAUUCUAACAACCUCAUGAGGUUGGCACAUACCUGACUCUGGAAGCCACUCUAAUAUACUCCUAUACCUGGUAAUGUCUCUUUCAGGCAAUCUUUAACUUUACAGAUCAACUUAUUAUUUUUUUUGCAGCUGCUACAGGAUAACAUCAUUCUGCCUUACUUGUCCUGGCAAUACAUUUCCUUACCCUUCUUUAUGCUAACACCAGGACUUAUGGCAUAAUUCACCAAAUCCAAGAUUUGAUCCAAAUGUAAUUAAUAAGUUGUUAUUUGUCCUGGAUCAGGGUUUUUUUGUUUGUUUGUUUAUUUGUUUUUUGGCUGCAGAAAGAGGUAGACAGCAAUAGGAAGGGGAAGUGCCCUUUCCAAUGGCAGUACAGGCUGCAACUAGGCUAAAUGAGUUAUGAAAA